GUGUGUAUGUGCGGGCGAGAAGAUGGCGGCGGCGGGGGAAGCAGCGUGAGCAGCCGGAGGAGCGCCGAGUCCCAUUGAAACGGGCAGCCAUGGCCCUCCACAGCCCGCAGAUUUUGGUGGCUGGACGUUAGGAGUAUAGAGCUGAAGAGAGAAUUCCUGUGCUUUAGAGGUUCGCUGGGUAGCGAGGGAGAGAAACAGGCUAAUGGCUGGGUGCAUCCAAUUUUAGGGUGGUUAUUCCUGUAACAGAAGUGUGAACAACAUAGUCAAGAACAUUCAUUCAUUCGUUUGUUCAUUCAUUCAGCAAAUAGUUACAGAGUGGCUGCUGUGUACCAGGCACUGAGGAGGGAGUGAUGCGCGAAAACAGGCAUUGUUUCUCUCACGGAGUUUAUGGGUCCUGAGGAAGACAGCUUGCUAAUCAGAUAAUCACAGUUACGUACAUGUCGCUCCAAACUGAGAGAUGUUUCCCAAAGGAAGGGAACACAAUCUGAAGUCAGAGAACGGUUCCCGUGGAAGUGACACGUUUAUAGCAUGAGACAGUGGGGACAGCAUGUGCGGU
rnacentral:sRNA from 1 species